rnacentral:tRNA from 1 species
GCGUCGUUCAGCCAGGCGAACAGGCGGCUCGUCCACGACGCGCGCGGUAGCGCCGUGGACCGGUGCGCCGGUUCGGCGCCGGCCGUCGCG